GACGAACGCUGGCGGCGUGCUUAACACAUGCAAGUCGAACGGAAAGGCUCCAGCUUGCUGGAGUACUCGAGUGGCGAACGGGUGAGUAACACGUGGGUAAUCUGCCCUGCACUCUGGGAUAAGCCUGGGAAACUGGGUCUAAUACUGGAUAUGACCUUUCUCCUUAUGGGGUUUGGUGGAAAGUUUUUCGGUGUAGGAUGAGCCCGCGGCCUAUCAGCUUGUUGGUGGGGUGAUGGCCUACCAAGGCGACGACGGGUAGCCGGCCUGAGAGGGUGAUCGGCCACAUUGGGACUGAGAUACGGCCCAGACUCCUACGGGAGGCAGCAGUGGGGAAUAUUGCACAAUGGGCGGAAGCCUGAUGCAGCGACGCCGCGUGAGGGAUGACGGCCUUCGGGUUGUAAACCUCUUUCAGCAGGGACGAAGCGUAAGUGACGGAACCUGCAGAAGAAGCACCGGCUAACUAUGUG
rnacentral:rRNA from 1 species